rnacentral:lncRNA from 1 species
GAAUCCGGGUUUUGACUUCUCGCAGGCACAAUUUACAGGUAGCUGCCCCGACCCAAGGACCUUUAUGGGUGGGAUCCGCUCUGAUUGACAAUGUUACUAUGCUACAUUGCUUACUUGUAUUAAGCCUGUAGCAUUAUUUACUCGUAUUAAGCCUGUAGCAUUGUUUACUUGUAUUAAGCCUGUAGCAUUAUUUACUUGUAUUAAGCCUGUUAGAAUCCUGACACUCUCUCCCUAAAUAAAAACAAUCUGAUUUCCGUCAGUGUUCAGGUAUUCUAUGUAAAACUGUAUUUACCUUGUCAAAUGAUUGUGGUCACAUGUCACUCUAAUUAUUGUCCCGUUUAUUCCAAAUGUAGCAAAAAAAGGGAAAAAAAAGGAAGUGAAAAUGUAUGUCUCAUUGUCUGUUUGUUGUUUGCAGUGUGUUAAGUGCAAUAUGAGGGCCUUGCUCAGCUUUUUAGGCUUGAGUAACAGAUUUUAUCCAGACAGAUCCAUGUGUUGGAGCUUGGAAGCUACUUAGCAAACAGCAAAAUAGCAUCAUGAGUCACAGGAUUAGUUUAUAAGAGAUCGAAGAUGAUGAACCCAGAAGUUAAAAAUUUACCUGUUUUCAAAUUAUUUGAUAUUUGGUUGGCGUUGAUUUGAUAUGGAUUGAAAAUCCCAUGAAUCUGGGAAACAAGAAAGAAUAGAAAGGAUAAAAUGGCUGGUUUUUGAUUUGUUAAGUGAACAAGAAUCAGAUUCCAAAAGAAACCGAAGAAAGUGCUUGAAAGUUGAAUGUAUCGAACUAAUGCUAUAAGAAUCACAUUCCUGAGCGAUCAUUACUUUAAUUUAGACUCGUAUAAUUACGCAAGGCUUAUGCAGUGGGGGCAAUAUUCCAU